rnacentral:rRNA from 1 species
AGACCCGAAACCCGGUGAUCUAGCCAUGGGCAGGUUGAAGGUUGGGUAACACUAACUGGAGGACCGAACCGACUAAUGUUGAAAAAUUAGCGGAUGACCUGUGGCUGGGGGUGAAAGGCCAAUCAAACCGGGAGAUAGCUGGUUCUCCCCGAAAGCUAUUUAGGUAGCGCCUCGUGAAUUCAUCUCCGGGGGUAGAGCACUGUUUCGGCUAGGGGGCCAUCCCGGCUUACCAACCCGAUGCAAACUGCGAAUACCGGAGAAUGUUAUCACGGGAGACACACGGCGGGUGCUAACGUCCGUCGUGAAGAGGGAAACAACCCAGACCGCCAGCUAAGGUCCCAAAGUCAUGGUUAAGUGGGAAACGAUGUGGGAAGGCCCAGACAGCCAGGAUGUUGGCUUAGAAGCAGCCAUCAUUUAAAGAAAGCGUAAUAGCUCACUGGUCGAGUCGGCCUGCGCGGAAGAUGUAACGGGGCUAAACCAUGCACCGAAGCUGCGGCAGCGAACGUAUCACCCAAGACAACUUUACGGAGUUGACGAUUGACGGAGCGAAGCGACGUCAAAGCGUUCAUUAAAGUCGAGUUGGCUUAGGGAUACGUUCGUUGGGUAGGGGAGCGUUCUGUAAGCCUGUGAAGGUGUGUCGUGAGGCAUGCUGGAGGUAUCAGAAGUGCGAAUGCUGACAUAAGUAACGAUAAAGCGGGUGAAAAGCCCGCUCGCCGGAAGACCAAGGGUUCCUGUCCAACGUUAAUCGGGGCAGGGUGAGUCGACCCCUAAGGCGAGGCCGAAAGGCGUAGUCGAUGGGAAACGGGUUAAUAUUCCCGUACUUGGUGUUACUGCGAAGGGGGGACGGAGAAGGCUAUGUUGGCCGGGCGACGGUUGUCCCGGUUUAAGGGUGUAGGUGUGUGUUCCAGGUAAAUCCGG